rnacentral:tRNA from 1 species
GGCUUCGUGGCCUAAUGGCUAGGGCGCUAGAUUUCGGUGAUACUACAAAGUAUUUGAUUCUCUAGAGAUUGUCGGUUCGAGUCCGGCCGAAGUCG